GAGUUUGAUCAUGGCUCAGAUUGAACGCUGGCGGAAUGCUUUACACAUGCAAGUCGAACGGCAGCAUAGAGAGCUUGCUCUCUGAUGGCGAGUGGCGAACGGGUGAGUAAUAUAUCGGAACGUACCUAGUAAUGGGGAACAACUAGCCGAAAGGUUAGCUAAUACCGCAUACGACCUACGGGUGAAAGCAGGGGAUCUUCGGACCUUGCGUUAUUAGAGCGGCCGAUAUCUGAUUAGGUAGUUGGUGGGGUAAAAGCCUACCAAGCCAACGAUCAGUAGCUGGUCUGAGAGGACGAUCAGCCACACUGGAACUGAGACACGGUCCAGACUCCUACGGGAGGCAGCAGUGGGGAAUUUUGGACAAUGGGGGCAACCCUGAUCCAGCCAUUCCGCGUGAGUGAAGAAGGCCUUCGGGUUGUAAAGCUCUUUCACAAGAGAAGAAAUCUUAUUAUCAAAUAAAUAGUAAGGAUGACGGUAUCUUGAGAAGAAGCACCGGCUAACUACGUGCCAGCAGCCGCGGUAAUACGUAGGGUGCGAGCGUUAAUCGGAAUUACUGGGCGUAAAGCGUGCGCAGGCGGCUUUAUAAGUCAGAUGUGAAAUCCCCGAGCUCAACUUGGGAACUGCGUUUGAAACUGUAAGACUAGAGUGUGUCAGAGGGGGGGUAGAAUUCCAUGUGUAGCAGUGAAAUGCGUAGAUAUAUGGGAGGAAUACCAAUGGCGAAGGCAGCCCCCUGGGAUAACACUGACGCUCAUGCACGAAAGCGUGGGGAGCAAACAGGAUUAGAUACCCUGGUAGUCCACGCCCUAAACGAUGUCUACUAGUUGUUGGUGGAGUAAAAUCCAUGAGUAACGCAGCUAACGCGUGAAGUAGACCGCCUGGGGAGUACGGUCGCAAGAUUAAAACUCAANGAAUUGANNGGGCCCGCACAAGCGGUGGAUUAUGUGGAUANNGAUGCANGCGAAAACNUACNGGNNUUGACAUGUACCGAAUUAGCAGANAUGCUUUAGUGCUCG
rnacentral:rRNA from 1 species